AACGAACGCUGGCGGCAGGCCUAACACAUGCAAGUCGAGCGCCCCGCAAGGGGAGCGGCGCACGGGUGAGUAACGCGUGGGAAUAUGCCCUGGGGCUGGGGAUAACGGCGGGAAACUGCCGCUAAUACCCGGUACGCCAUGAGUGGGAAAGGAGCAAUCCGCCCUGGGAGUAGCCCGCGUUGGAUUAGCUAGUUGGUGUGGUAAGAGCGCACCAAGGCGACGAUCCAUAGCUGGUCUGAGAGGAUGAUCAGCCACACUGGGACUGAGACACGGCCCAGACUCCUACGGGAGGCAGCAGUGGGGAAUAUUGGACAAUGGGGGCAACCCUGAUCCAGCCAUGCCGCGUGUGUGAAGAAGGCCUC
rnacentral:rRNA from 1 species